rnacentral:rRNA from 1 species
AAAAGAUUCAUCGGAAGAGGAUGGGCAUGCGGCGCAUUAGCUAGACGGCGGGGUAACGGCCCACCGUGGCGACGAUGCGUAGGGGUUCUGAGAGGAAGGUCCCCCACACUGGUACUGAGACACGGACCAGACUCCUACGGGAGGCAGCAGUGAGGAAUAUUGGUCAAUGGGAGAGAUCCUGAACCAGCCAAGCCGCGUGAGGGAAGACGGCCCUAUGGGUUGUAAACCUCUUUUGUCGGAGAACAAAACCCGGGACGUGUCCCGGACUGCGUGUAUCCGAAGAAAAAGCAUCGGCUAACUCCGUGCCAGCAGCCGCGGUAAUACGGAGGAUGCGAGCGUUAUCCGGAUUUAUUGGGUUUAAAGGGUGCGUAGGCGGUCCGUUAAGUCAGCGGUAAAAUUGCGGGGCUCAACCCCGUCGAGCCGUUGAAACUGGCAGACUUGAGUUGGCGAGAAGUACGCGGAAUGCGCGGUGUAGCGGUGAAAUGCAUAGAUAUCGCGCAGAACUCCGAUUGCGAAGGCAGCGUACCGGCGCCAGACUGACGCUGAGGCACGAAAGCGUGGGGAUCGAACAGGAUUAGAUACCCUGGUAGUCCACGCAGUAAACGAUGAAUGCUGGUUGUCCGGGUCGAAUGAGAUCUGGGCGGC